rfam:Gossypium arboreum cultivar AKA8401 contig_24242_7, whole genome shotgun sequence.
UGUUAGAAGUUUCAUCCAUUCUAUUGUUUAAAACUAACAUAGCUGAUAGAAUAAUUAAACAGGGACAUGUGGUGUGUCAUGUUUAUCACAUGCUGACAUACAAGGAUCUGUUUUUAACAAUAGAAAUAUUAAAAUUUUAAUA